UGCUAACGUUUAGCAAGAAAUGAUGAAAACAAAAGAAAAUGAAGCCUGUCUCCCAUGCAUUCAGUAAAUUUGCCCAAAAUGUGAUACAUGUAUGUGUUCCAUAAAUUUCUUAGGACAUAUUUGAAGGUAUUAAUAAUUUAAUAAGAUAUUGUGGUCAGUUUUUCAGCCUAUGCUUCCCUUGGAUUUGCUUUAUGGAUUAUUGUUUGGAUGGCUCAUAUGUUGAGGCUUGAUAAAGUUGUGUGGCAUUUUGAUACAAAUAUAGGAUUUAUACAUAAUCGUGUGCGGGCUAUUGCUUCUAACUUAGCCAUAUAAAACAAAUACAACAUAACUGUGUCAGCUGUGAUAUCAAAUUCUAACUUCUAUUGUAUGCUUUUCAGGCCCAGUUGUCAUGGAUAUGA
rnacentral:misc_RNA from 1 species